AAUAGCCUAACGGCUGAACCAGCAACUUGGAGGAAUGAAUGGCGAAAGCUAAUUGUAUUUUAAUAGUGCAAUAUCGAUUUUAUCGAAUAAAGUUCUGGGUGGAAUAUAUGAUAAUGACAUUUUCUGCCUAUAUUUCUUGACCAAAAUACGUGCCAGCAGUCGCGGUAAUACGUUACAGAUAAGUGUUAUUCAUCUUUAUUGGGUUUAAAGGGUACCUAGACGGUAAACUAAGCCGGUUUAUACAAAAGGUACUAAUUUACUAGAGUUUAAUGUGAUGGGGCUAAUAUGUACUGCAGGUGUAGAAAUGAAAUUCUUUGAUACCCUCUCUCUACUGGGAGACCAUAUGGCACAGCCAGCGGCGAAAGCAUCUCUUUAUGUAUUAACUGACGUUGAGGGACGAAGGCUCUAUAUAACAAAAAGGAUUAGGUACCCAAGUAGUUGGAUGCAGAAAAUGAUGAGUGUCAUAGAUUAGAUAAAUAUUUACUCUAUAAAUGAUAGUGUAAGCACUCCACCUCAAGAGUAAUUUGGCAACAUUGGAACUGAAAUCAUUAGACCGUUUCUGAAACCAGUAGUGAAGUAUGUUGUUUAAUUUGAUAAUCCGCAAAAAACCUUACCACAGUUUGAAUAUUUAUUUUUCUAUCUAGAAAUGUAAAAACAAGCGUUGCAUGGUUGUCUUCAGUUAAUGUCGUCAGACUAUGGUUAGUGCCAUGAAAUUAACGAAAACCCUUAUUUUAUUUUUACAUAAAAUAGUUCCCCUUUAUAUGGGAGAAUGAUAACAGGGAUUCAGACAAGCCAUCAUGACCUUACACCUUAUAAAAUAAGGAAAAAACGAUACUGUUGGC
rnacentral:rRNA from 1 species